rnacentral:rRNA from 1 species
UACGUAGGGUGCGAGCGUUGUCCGGAAUUAUUAGGCGUAAAGAGCUCGUAGGCGGUCUGUCGCGUCGAUCGUGAAAACUUGGGGCUUAACCCUGAGCUUGCGGUUGAUACGGGCAUGACUGGAGUUCGGCAGGGGAGACUGGAAUUCCUGGUGUAGCGGUGAAAUGCGCAGAUAUCAGGAGGAACACCGGUGGCGAAGGCGGGUCUCUGGGCCGAUACUGACGCUGAGGAGCGAAAGCGUGGGGAGCGAACAGG